CUCUCUUUGUGGAUCCCCUUGUUCCCUCGCACCGCCAAUCUCCAGGAGCACUCCGCCUCAUGCUUUCUUCAGCCACAUGCCACCUCCCUGCCAACCCCGCUAGCAGGUGAGAGCAGCUCCACCUCCUGUCUUGCCAUCGGGCGCCUCACCCCAACCUCCUGCUCGCGCGCCGCACCAAGACAACUCCUCGCCGCUGCCAAGCCAUCCCUCUAGCAUGCCCAACCACGCCCCACAGCUGCCCGUCACGCCCCUGCUCACAUCUUUGCCGGGCUCGACCUCACCUGCAUCUUCAAACCAUGCGCCCCACGGUCCUCUUCUCCGAGGCCCGCAAUCGUGCCUCGCCUUGCCUCCUCCUCAUGUCUCUGUUUCCUCCAGGUGAAGGCUUCCUCUACGAACUCGAUUCUCCCC
rnacentral:lncRNA from 1 species